UUUUAAAAUGCAGUAUUUAAUAGGAUAUCUGAUCAGCACUUCUGUUCUGGAGGAAUUCUGAACUCUGAGUUCUGUCACGUCCUCUUAGCAGCACCUUGUUGGAGAGCAUAUGGGGGAUGGUCUGAAUCUUAAAGACAUGAUUGCUUUUUGCCUUCAGAAGCAGUAGGGCUGCUGGGAAAAUACUUGGGAUGCCCAAAGAGUUCUUCUCUACUUGACCCUGCUCUUCAUGGGAAGGAAGAAGAGGUGCAACUUGUUCUGCAGGACCUUCCCACUCAGCUGUCAAGAGAUGCCUGCCAGCUUUUCCCCUCUGGAGGAGAUCAAGACAGGAUGAUUUAGAUGACAUUACUGAAUUGACAAUGAGAGAAAUGGCUGCUGGAUGCAGCAAGCUGGAGGAGACUUGAGUAAAGGGACACGAUGGCAGAGAAAAGAAGCAGCAAAGCCCUUUCUGUGCAUGAAGACAAGAAACAGACUCUGCAGCUUCUUCUACGAUCAUUGUAAAAACACACAAAGUUUGACAUUUUACUUUGAUCCAGUUGGCCCUACCAAGACAAUACUGAGGCAAGUGGGAUGCAUGGAUUUAUCUUUGUAUUCCUUUUCCUGGCAGCUGGACCAGCCUAGAACAUGAAUUUCAAACUCUGUAAUUAUAUCUACAUCUUUCAUUCCUACAGAAUGCUGACAGAUUAAGGAUGCGAUAAAGACUCUUUUGUCAUAAUAGAAAAGGGCUUGUAUGGGUUUUGCAAUGGAGGUAUGAUAAAGCUCUAAGAGGGCUGUACGAUUUUAUGCUAAUCCCUGAGAAGCAGAUCAAUAUCAAGGCAAAAGGCAUAAUGUUUUUACAAAGGGAGAGAUCAGCACAGAUGUACUCAGAUGAGAGGCAAGGCUACAAUCAAGUUGCCAGGUGAUGUUUGUCGUACA